rnacentral:rRNA from 1 species
CUACGGGGGGCUGCAGUGAGGAAUAUUGCACAAUGGGGGGAACCCUGAUGCAGCAACGCCGCGUGGAGGAUGACGCAUUUCGGUGUGUAAACUCCUUUUAUAUGUCAAGAAAAUGACGGUAGCAUAUGAAUAAGCGCCGGCUAACUCCGUGCCAGCAGCCGCGGUAAUACGGAGGGCGCAAGCGUUACUCGGAAUCACUGGGCGCAAAGGACGCGUAGGCGGGUUGAAAAGUCAGGUGUGAAAGCCUACAGCUUAACUGUAGAACUGCACUUGAAACUCUCAAUCUAGAGUAUGGGAGGGGCAGAUGGAAUUAGUGGUGUAGGGGUAAAAUCCGUAGAUAUCACUAGGAAUACCUAAAGCGAAGGCGAUCUGCUGGAACAUUACUGACGCUAAGGCGUGAAAGCGUGGGGAGCAAACAGGAUUAGAUACCCCCGUAGUC